rnacentral:rRNA from 1 species
UACGUAGGGACCAAGCGUUGUCCGGAAUCAUUGGGCGUAAAGAGCGUGUAGGCGGCUUGUUAAGUCUUGCGUGAAAUCUCGGGGCUCAACCCCGAGCGGUCGUGAGAAACUGGCAGGCUAGAGUGCGGGAGAGGAGAGUGGAAUUCCUGGUGUAGCGGUGAAAUGCGCAGAUAUCAGGAGGAACACCCGUGGCGAAAGCGGCUCUCUGGGACGGUACUGACGCUGAGACGCGAAAGCGUGGGGAGCGAACAGG